rnacentral:rRNA from 1 species
GAGUUUGAUCAUGGCUCAGAACGAACGCUGGCGGCGUGCCUAACACAUGCAAGUCGAACGGAUUUGAGGGGCUUGCUCCUCAAGUUAGUGGCGCACGGGUGAGUAACGCGUAGAUAAUCUGCCUGAUGAUCCGGGAUAACACUUCGAAAGGGGUGCUAAUACCGGAUAAGCCCACGGGGUCUUUGGAUUCUGCGGGAAAAGGGGGGGACCUUCGGGCCUUCUGUCAUCAGAUGAGUCUGCGUACCAUUAGCUAGUUGGUAGGGUAAUGGCCUACCAAGGCUACGAUGGUUAGCUGGUUUGAGAGAAUGAUCCGCCACACUGGGACUGAGACACGGCCCAGACUCCUACGGGAGGCAGCAGUGGGGAAUUUUGGACAAUGGGGGCAACCCUGAUCCAGCCAUGCCGCGUGAGUGAAGAAGGCCUUCGGGUUGUAAAGCUCUUUCAGACGGAAAGAAAUCGCGCGGGUGAAUAUCCUGCGUGGAUGACGGUACUGUCAGAAGAAG